CAUUGCUGUUUUUCUGUGUAUCCACAUUGUUCUCCGGUUCUGCAACAUUGCAGCGAAGAGGGACGUCCCUGCCCUGGACAGGUACUGGGAGCAGGUGCUUGCCUUGCUGUGGCCUCGGUUUGAGCUGAUCCUGGAGAUGAAUGUCCAGAGUGUCCGCAGCACUGACCCCCAGCGCCUUGGGGGACUGGACACUCAGCCCCACUAUAUA
rnacentral:lncRNA from 1 species